GACGAACGCUGGCGGCGUGCUUAACACAUGCAAGUCGAACGAAGAGCGAUGGAAGCUUGCUUCUAUCAAUCUUAGUGGCGAACGGGUGAGUAACGUGUAAUCAACCUGCCCUUCAGAGGGGGACAACAGUUGGAAACGACUGCUAAUACCGCAUACGAUCUAAUCUCGGCAUCGAGGAUAGAUGAAAGGUGGCCUCUACAUGUAAGCUAUCACUGAAGGAGGGGAUUGCGUCUGAUUAGCUAGUUGGAGGGGUAACGGCCCACCAAGGCGAUGAUCAGUAGCCGGUCUGAGAGGAUGAACGGCCACAUUGGGACUGAGACACGGCCCAGACUCCUACGGGAGGCAGCAGUGGGGAAUCUUCCGCAAUGGACGAAAGUCUGACGGAGCAACGCCGCGUGAGUGAUGACGGCCUUCGGGUUGUAAAGCUCUGUUAAUCGGGACGAAAGGCCUUCUUGCGAAUAGUGAGAAGGAUUGACGGUACCGGAAUAGAAAGCCACGGCUAACUACGUG
rnacentral:rRNA from 1 species